rnacentral:lncRNA from 1 species
GAGAUGUGUUGUCUCUCCAGGAGUUUCCCGAUGCUGUCUACGUAGAAAUCUUCCAUCUCCGAGAUCCCAUCUUGUAACGAAGGACGCUCUUCUCGGCCCUCGAAGACGAGUCUUGGAGCGUAGGUUUGUUCUCCGAUCCCUGAGCUUACGAUGGCUUUGAGAAGGAACUUGUAUUCGUUUAAACCGAGGUUCUUGUUUCGGUGAAUGAUUUCUCCGCUGAACUGAGUGCUCACCAUUCGGUCGUCCGAUGGUUUAUGACAUUGGUAGUCUAAGAUGUAGCAGUCUUUGUCUUUCUUUGAGUCUAUGAGUUUACAGAUCUUGAAGAAGAGAUAUGAGAGAAGAAGGGAGAAGAAGAGAAGGAGAAGAUCCAUAUUAUUAUUAUUUUUCUUUAUUUUUUUGUUUGUGUGUUUGUUUUUUGGGGUUAAGAAGAGAUGAUGAAGUGAGUAAGCUGCAUGAGAAUAUGGUGGAGAUUGUGAAGGGGAUUAUAUAAGAGAGAUCAUUAGAAUGGAUGAGGAAACGACAGCUCUGAACGUUUCAGUGGGUUCUACAUCACCGUUGAAUUUUUUUUUUGUUUGGUGAGAACUUUAAUAUUUUAGAAUAAACAAAACUUAAUAUACUUAUUUCUACAGCCCAAGUUUGCGGUGAAUUUUGUGACUUAGGAUUUAGGAGAUAAGUGGGGACGCGUUGAUGUUGAUAUGUAAAUGGAUAUGCAAUGUGGAAGAAGUCUUAACUUGCUCCUUUAUUAAAACACAGAGAAGCUUUCUUACAACAAGUCUACGGUUUACCAUUAUGUAAUUGUAGUAUUUAUAGCAUUGUCGAUACUUAUUUUUCUUCUAUUGUUGAGCAAUGAGUUAUUGAGUUCUCGAAUCUUAUCUCGCGAACAUGAACAUGUUGUGUUUUUAUAUCGGCUGGACACAUAACCUAUCCUCCUUAUUUUUGGAGUUUUUGUUUCUCUCUUUAGUACAACGUUUUUGUGAGUUCACUUGUAGAAAUUUAUCGUAUAACUAUGAAAUAGUCACGAUGCGUUUGUGACUAAUUUUUUUUAAAUCAUAAAAUUAUCACAAAUAGUGAAAAAAUCAAAAAUAUGACUAGUCACAAAUAUAUCAUGAUUAAAAUUAGACAUGAUUUACUAUAAAUAUUGAUAUACUUUUCUUGGUUUAAAUUAUGUUUUAAAGCUUCGAUUUGGGAUCAAAAGUCGUUGAUUACUCAAUAGCUAUCAGUUGAUUACUGAUAUAUGCUAAUUUCCAAAAAGAAAAAAAUAUGUAUAGUAAAAGAAGAGGCUUAAACACAAUUGAGCUCAUUUUCUUUGUUUGGCUAUGCAGAGUGAUUACCACAUAUGCUAUAAAUCAUUCAUAAUAUCUAGAUAGACUAUUAUCUAUAUACAGAUGCUAAGAGAUAUUCCCUAUACCACAUUUCUUUUAAUGUCUAGCACUCAAUUUUAAUUUCGUAGUUUGGUUCUAUGAAUUAUAAUUAAAGAGAUCGAACUUUAAAAUGUGAGUCUGAGCAAAGCAAGGGAGGAGAUAAGUAACCCAAAAAUUAAAUUAAAUACAUGCAAGAGAGUGAAGUUAUCUUGAGUCAUCUCAACGUCCACCAACCGAAUGUGGUUUGAGUAGAGAUUACGUAUUAAUCUUUCAUUAGUAAACACUUUGUCUCACACCUUCUGCGUGCGUUUCUUCGUAUUUCUUUAGUCUUUACCUUCUCUUCCGUCUGUUGUUCUAAAUACCUAGUAUGUCUUUACUUAAUCUCUCUCUCUCUCUCCUAGUAUGUAUUUAAUUCAUCUCCCACUCCAACAAAGUUAGGUGUACAUGUGUAUGGACCUUAAUGUGUAUUAAAAGUACAUCUCCAGAAACUUACUACUAUCAAAGUAUCAAUGACAAUGUGGAGUAAUUUCAAUAUACUCGUUUCUGUAAAUAGAAAAUUUUAGACUGCCUAGUUCUGCGUGUUAAUUGGGAGUGGCAAAAUUUGGAUUUGAAAUGUAUUUUGAUGUUUUACAUUUUUAGGACAGAUUUAGUUACGGACUCUUUUCUUAAUAUGCUUUCUGUAAGAAUGACCAACUUAUGUUAUAGAACUGAAAAUACAACGGUCCUGGAGUCCAGUUUAGAGUCCAAUAAUAUUAAAAAAACAUAUAUUAUUUUAGAUUUAUAAAUACACUAAAUAAUAUUCUCCCUGGCAAAAUAUUAUAUACAACUGGUGUUCAAUGUUGAUGGAUAAGUUAUUACAAAUUAUCAUGUAAAAAGGAAUAUAUAUAUAUAUAUUAUUUUAGUUAUACCUAAUCAAAAUUUGACAGUUAUUUAAUUAAAGAGCAUAAUUUUCUAUGAGCACUAACCCCAGUAUCACAGUAAAAAAUUACUAAACUAUGUAAUUUGCUUUUAACUUAACUAAUUUUUGUACACCAAAAAAAACUUAACUAAUAUUUUCUUUAUCAACCAUAUGUGAUAUGCAUUAGUGUCACAAGCUAGUUGGCAAAUUGGAAUAAUACGAACAGAAAAUGAAAACAAAUAAUUAGCAUUGAGUACUGCAAAUACUAUAUCUUCAUAGUUGAAUAAUAGUAUUUUUUUUCUGAAAGACGUAUAGUGAUAAUAGUUUUUCUUUUGUUUGUAAAAGAUCCAAACUUUAGAAGACUUAGAGCUUGAUUGGUUUUCCCACUACCACCCGCAAACGCAGCUUUUGCGAUUGGUAGCGGUUGACAGCAUUUUGAAACAAUCAUACAAACCGCUACAAAUCGCUUCAAACCGCUCUGAACCUCUUAAAUUCAAAAGCUGGUUCCAUCUAGCGUUUGCGGUUGCGGAUGGUUGCGGAAGGAUAAUUUUUUUUCUUUUUUUUAAAAAAACCAUAUAAAUACAAAAAUAAAAAUAUUCAAUAAAUUUUUUAAAAUGGAAUUAUAAAAAUACUAAAAUAUAUCUAUUAUAUUUUAAUUAAUAUUAUAAAAUUUUAAAAUAAAAAUAUUUUCUAUAAUUUUAAAAAUUUAAAACUAUAACUUUGAAAAUAUAAUUUACAUAUUUAUUAUAAUAUUAUGAUUUUUGAUAUUUUUAUAAUUAUAUAAAAUAUAAAUAUUGUUAAUUUAUUAUUUAACCGCUGCUGUAUUUGGUAGUUAAUCAGUCAUAAGUAUCCCGCAAAUGCACCAAUUUCUAACCGCAGAACCAGUCGUACAAAUCUCUUAAAACCGCUAGAAACCGCAACCACCCGCAUCCGCAAACGCCCGCAGCCGCAACCGCAACCGCUGCGUUUGAACCAGUCAGGCCCUUAGUAAUCUGAAAUGUAUUUCCUUUGUCAAAAAAAUAAUCUUAAAUGUAUUUCACAGCGUUUACAUCUACUCUAUUAAAAUAGGGUCCUAUUUGAAAUUUACCUUGGCAUAUUUUAAAUUUGGACCUAUUAAGGGGGGGGUUAGUGGGAGAUUGAUUUUUAAAGAGUUAAAGAAUUUAAAGAUUCUAGUGUUAUUGGUAACAUGAUUCUUAAAGUUCUAAAAAGUUUGGUGUUAUUGAUGUGAUGAUUUUACAAUUCUAUAUAAAUCUUUUGUUAUUUAAAAAGUUCAGUAUUUUUAGAUUUUGUAAUUCUAUUAAACUAUGGUGUUAUUGAAACAAUGAUUCAUUACAUUUUAACUCACUACUCACAACUUUCAAAAUACUAGAGUUAACCCAUGUAUUCCCAAAGUUGAGAUGACAAAAUCAAUAUUUUUUUAUCAAACAUGCAAAUAUGAUACGUGAGAAGCAUUAUCAAUUCCAUAUAAUCUUUUUUAUCAAACAUGCAUAAAUAUAACUAUGAAAUAGAUUCCAUGCACAGUCACACUACAACACAUCAAAAUGAUAAAUCCAAAAAUUUUUAUCCAUAGAAAAAUUAUGAAAGAGAUUCCACAGUCAGACAACAUCACAUCAAAAUGAUAAAUCCAGAAAUUAACACCAUCACAAAUGAAAAUGAGUUAUAAAUCGUUGUGAGUAGGCUAUACUGAUUUUUUUUGAAUUCUAUUAAAACCUUGGUUUCCUCUAAAUUCCAUUCCAUAGGCUAUGCUGAUUUUUUUUUUUAUCACCCAUUGCAAUCUUAUGUGAAGUUAAUCAAUAUUGGUAAGAACAUACACACAAAAAUAUUUAUUAUCACAAACAAACAGGUAAACAUCAAGGUUCUUGCUACUAGUCUAAACAAAUAAAAUAAUGAAACCAAACGUAAACUUGAAAGCAUCAGAUAUAACAAUCAAACUAUUUUAAUACAUGAUAUAAUAAAAAACAGAGAAAUAUAUCAUAAAAAAAAAGAGAUAAGAAAAGUAAAAACCAGAGGCUUGUAUUAUUUUGCGAGCUUUGAUGAUGAAUAAAAAGCAAAGAACAAUUCUAAGAUGUUCAUUUUCUUUAUACACAAUUGAACAUACUUUAUUUUAAAUAUAUUAUAUGGAAAAUAGAUAAACAAUAGUACACAAAAGUUAACAUAAAUCACAAUAAGUUGUCGCCAAUCAAACCAAAAGAAUAUAUGGAUUCUAUAAAUAUGGGAAGAUAUAUUGUCAGAAUCAAUGAAAAUAUUUACAGAAUUAAAAUCCUCUUGACUUUUGAAAUCAAUGUGAAUUAUCUCCCCACUAACCCCCCCUAAGUAUGUUGUGACUUAAUAUUAUUAAGUCAUUUAAAUUAUGGACCUACCUAAAAUAACUCAAUCUAAUCAAGAUAAUAUUUGAAAACUAAAAUAUUACUCCAUAACUACCUCCUUAAAUAUUGCCUACUAAUUAUUGUUAUUUAAAUUUCCUUUACACAUAGAAAUUUUGAAACAAAGGUUUGUAUUACUAUAGAAAUGAAUUUUGAAAAAUGUGGAAUCACAUACCAUAUUCUUAUAUAUUCACCCUUACAUAAUAUUAAUUUUAUAGAUGACUAUAUAUAUAUAUAUUCAGUAGAAUCUAAUCCUAAUUCCCCGUGUAUUUUGUAAUCCUCCUAUCCUACCUCAGUAAUAUUAUUUAAUCUUUUUAGUGACAUACCUUUUGAAUCUUAUAAUAUAAUUGAUAUACCUUAGUAAAAGAAGCUAUAUACUAUAUAUAACAAAUAAAUAAUAAGUUAUAUACCAAAACCAUGACUAUUAACAUAUGCUAUAUAUCGUCCAUAGAUUUUUCAGUACAUUUUAUAUACAUUUAAAUUUUAUAUUAGAUAAAUUAUAUCUCAGCUUUCAAUUUUUAAAUUCAGAAUGAACAAAAUAAAUCUUUAUUCUGAACAGAAAAAAAAUCAUUUGGCAUAUCAUUCUAAAUUAAAAGAUGAAUAAAUCAUUGAUUAUUGUUAUAAUAUAAAUUCCACAACUUUGAAUUUGUGCAUUGUUUUUUUAAAUUCUGAAACCAAAUAUUUUUUUUUUGUUAUAUUAUAAACAUAUAUAACCAUAACCAUAUAUUUUGAAACUUUUUCCAUGUAAAUUAAAACGAUAUAUAUUUUAAAUAGCCAACCUUACAACAUUGUUUAAACUGAAAAUACAAUAAAUAAGUUUUGUAUUGUUCAACAUAUAUUUAGUUUAACGAUUUCAAGAAUAUUCUUAUAAUUAAUUUCACAUAAUUUCAUAUCUAAAUUCAGAUCCAUGCGUUCGAACUGAACUCAAAAUUUUAGGUUCCUAACAUUGUUAUUUGAACAAAGCCAAAAACUAAAUAAUGAAACCCAAAACAAACCAAACUUUAAAUUUAUAAAUAAUCAAACUAUUAUUAUAUUUCUAUAACCAAAAAUCAAAAUCCACAACCAAACCGAAAAAUCAAGAGUACAACCUCGACGUAAACCAAAAUUUACAAAAUAUCAUCAAACCAUAAAAUUUUAAUUUUGAAAAUAAAUUAUAAUUUUAAAUGAUGCUAAAAUUAUAAAUAUAAAUAUAAGUAUUUCCGCGCAACCGCGCGGGUCAAAAUCUAGUUAGCAAUUAAUUAGCAAUCCUCUUUAUUAAAAAACGAACAAAAUAAACAUAUUUUUAACAAAUAGACAUUUUUAACUUUUUGGACAAAUAACAUUUUUUAACUAAAUUAACAUUUUUGGUGUAAAGUUAUAAUCAGUUGUCAAUUCUAGUUUGACUUUCACAUUAUGGUUUAGAUAUAAUCAUGGUAUGAAUAAGAUGAUUGAAAAGUUGGUUGUUUGAUAGAUGACGACGAAAUGUAUAUAAAUGCAGUCAACAAGGCUGCUAGAAAUUGUGUCAAAAUCUAUUUAUACAAGUGAAAGCAAAGAUUGUACUUAAAGAGUCUUGGAGACUGAGAUUAUAAAUGAGGAGACGACAUUAGUAGUCAAGCAAGACGACUUCGUCCGAUUUUCUUAUAUAUUAAUUUUCUUUAGAAAAUGGAUAUAACAAAGCUGCAAUCGCCGUUAUAUUCCCAAUAAAUACACAUUCAUAACAAUACAAGAAUCAAUCAAAUGCAUGAGGUAUUUUGUUUUUUAAAUGCACGAAGUUGGAUGUGCAAAAUAAACAGUGACAAAGAUUGAUACCAAACACAUUGACAGAUCUCCACUUACUAUCCAUUAUCUGCCUGGUCAACUCUGUAUAUUAUCACACUUACUUGGUCCUAUAUUGUAAGUGAGAUAAGAAAGGAACAAUGGUAGACACAGAGAGACACCAAGGCCAAUGACAGCAACGAUAAAGAUCAUCGACAAAAUAUUUUGAACAUGAUCAUUGCUACCAGCAAGAACGGUGAUUUCAGCUAUGAUGAAGUCUUUAAAGUCUCACUAAAAAAGUCUUUUAAAACCACACGGACGUAUUUCAGCAACGAUAAAGAUCAUCGACGUAUGAUUUCAGCUAUGAUUUCUGGUUCUAAAUGUCCCAGAUUUGAAACUUAUCACUUAAAUUUAGAUUUAAAACUUAUCACUUAAAUUUACCAAUUUGUGUGGUCAUAUAGCUAGUGUGGAUGUCUAACUUCCAUGUAGAGCAAUCUGGUUUAUCUGUCACUGGUAGGCCAGCCUCCAAAGAAUUAAUCGAGUCUUCGGAUUCGAUCAAGCUUGGGUUAUCAUCAAACAAAAAAAAAGUCCUUUAACCAUAAACAGUGAAUAAUAAUAAUCUAUAUUGGAUAGCAAAAUAAUACUAGCUAGUAGCUACAUGUAAUAAAGGGCGCAACUGUAUUAUUGAAUGCAAUACAGUAGUAGUUUAGAAGAAUUUUCCAAAUGAUGGAAGAAUUAUUGAAACUUUCCUUUGGCGGCAUAAAGGUGAAAUAUAUAUAUGAUAUAUAAUUAAAAUUAUAUUGAAAUUUCGUGCUAUAUCUAUAAUGAAAAGAUACUUGAUAGAGUUACGUUGUAAGUCUUAGGUAUUUUUCUCAUUUGGAUGCUUGACCAUAUGCAUUAUACAUACGUAUAGUAAUUAUUCAAAGAUACCUACCACUCCUUGGUGUGCCGUCGCCAUAUAUACAAUACUUGCUUUUGAACAUGAUCAUUGCUACCAGCAAGAACGGUGAUUUCAGCUAUGAUGAAGUCUUUAAAGUCUCACUAAAAAAGUCUUUUAAAACCACACGGACGUAUUUCAGCAACGAUAAAGAUCAUCGACGUAUGAUUUCAGCUAUGAUUUCUGGUUCUAAAUGUCCCAGAUUUGAAACUUAUCACUUAAAUUUAGAUUUAAAACUUAUCACUUAAAUUUACCAAUUUGUGUGGUCAUAUAGCUAGUGUGGAUGUCUAACUUCCAUGUAGAGCAAUCUGGUUUAUCUGUCACUGGUAGGCCAGCCUCCAAAGAAUUAAUCGAGUCUUCGGAUUCGAUCAAGCUUGGGUUAUCAUCAAACAAAAAAAAAGUCCUUUAACCAUAAACAGUGAAUAAUAAUAAUCUAUAUUGGAUAGCAAAAUAAUACUAGCUAGUAGCUACAUGUAAUAAAGGGCGCAACUGUAUUAUUGAAUGCAAUACAGUAGUAGUUUAGAAGAAUUUUCCAAAUGAUGGAAGAAUUAUUGAAACUUUCCUUUGGCGGCAUAAAGGUGAAAUAUAUAUAUGAUAUAUAAUUAAAAUUAUAUUGAAAUUUCGUGCUAUAUCUAUAAUGAAAAGAUACUUGAUAGAGUUACGUUGUAAGUCUUAGGUAUUUUUCUCAUUUGGAUGCUUGACCAUAUGCAUUAUACAUACGUAUAGUAAUUAUUCAAAGAUACCUACCACUCCUUGGUGUGCCGUCGCCAUAUAUACAAUACUUGCCCAUACCAUCGUAUUCGAGUAAAUAUACGUAUCAAAACAAAAAUAAUAUUAUUAAUCUUUUAUUGUUUUGGGGGUUUCUGGUUAUGACUUUAAUAACUUACUAUAUACAUGCCGUUGUUUGUACAUUUACAUGUAUACAUGCACAUGGGGAGCUAUGAGUGACUUGAGUCUACUCUCUCGUUUAUUUAAUCCGAUUCUCUGUUAUGAUAUAAAUUUUCUCUAUAUGAUUAUAUAUAACAAUCAAUAAAUGAGUUCUAACUUAAACGAGGCACCCCCAUCUGUAUCUUUAUAAACAAAGAAUAUUAAAACCAAAUUUCUAAUUUUGGUCCAACAUGCUGCAUGUGAUCAGGUUUUAUAGAUCAAACAUGACAAUGUGUAUAUAACAUGUAAAAUUAUUCAUAUCUACAGAAAAAGCAAGACAAUAUAUUUGGCCCAGAGUUAUGGUUGGAAUGUCAUUGAUGUUCUUGGAGUACUUUGUUGUUGGUACAAGAGUAGUUUUCCAAGAUAAAAAAUAAUGAAUUUAAUUGUUUUGCAAGAACGCAAAUGUAUUUGUUACAAAGAUUUCAUUAUAUGCUCAAAACUUAAGUUUUUUAUAGUUUAGAAUUGCCAGAGUUUAAAGGAAAGUACAUUCGAAUGGUGUCAAUGCGGGACCGGUCACGAGCGAGAAAUUGUGUCACGAUUUGACAUACUGCGACGUGAAUUGUUAAUACACUCUGAGUAGGUAACUAUGUUUUAUUAAUGUUUUUCUAAUAAUGUCUACUAACUAUCUGUUUAGUAGCAGCUGAAGAUACCAUAUUCGUAAUAUUUACUGCUAAAUUUAGUGCCAAUCAUACUAAAUACCUGUGUGGUAGCAGCUAAAGAGACCAUAUGUUAUUCGUCACAUUUACUACAAAAUUUAGUGCUAAUCAUACGCUAAAGAUCUGCCACACUUGAAAGUUUAUUACUCUCUCCGUUUAAAAAAAUAUCUAUAUUUUAGAAUAACAAAAUUAUUUCAAAAAGAUAUAUAUUUUACAUUAUCAAUACAUAAAUUAAUUGUAAAUUGUAAAUUUAAAAAACAUAAUAGUAUUUAUAAAGUUUUUAUUGAUUAAAAGUUGUAGAGAAUAGUUGAUAAAGAUGCAUGAAUAAUUAAAAUCUGGUAUGCUUUUUUUAAUAAAUGUAAAAACUUAAAAUAUACAUCUUUUUGAAAUGGAGGAAAUAUCGUAUCAAUAAGUCAUAAAGCUGUUCCAUUUUGUAACAGCUCUACUGGCAACUGGCAGGGAUAGGCUUUAACUGUUUCACAAAAAUAUAGUAAUAUAGUGUUGUUCUAAUUCUUGAUUAUUAAUAAUUUUAGCAACUCUUUAUUUCAUAUCCAAACGUUCAUCAGCUUUCCACAUUAUACAAGGUUCGAUAUUUUAUUAUUGAAUAUUUGACCAACCUAAUAACAAGAUGUCGGAUUUUGGAGCAUAAGCAAAGAAAUCGAUAGGGUAUCAUAAUUUUAAGCGAAAAUUUCCGUUGUAUAUAGGGUAUUAAAAACAUAAAUAACAAAAGCACAAAGUUUUAAGUUAGCAUAGAGCAUCAAGAAAAAUUGAGAAUAUCGCGGCAUUGUGUCGGACGCAAUCAUUCUUACUCUUGUUUAUUUCAUCACUAGAGAGAGAGAGGUAAGCAUAUUCCGCAUAUAUUAACUCUUUAACAUACGAUAUAUGUCACGGGAAGAUAUUAGACUGGUCGAUUAUUCCUUUCCGUUUUACUAAGAUAGAUGUUUUAUUAAAAAAAAUGUUUUACAAAGAUAAAAUUGUAAAAAAAAUUGUAAACUUCAAUAAAAUUAAUUAAAUUUAUUGAAUUACUAUUGGUUAAAAAUUAUUAAAACUUAAAAAUUACAUAAAACGAUGCAUUUAUUAUAAUGAUUUAAAGUUUUUUUAAUAUGUGCGAAAAUACUAUAAAUCUAUCUUUAUGAAACGAAUAGAGUAUGUCUUAAGUAUCACAUUUGUGUUAAAACUGUCUUAAUCCGUUCUGGUAGCAGGUACGUUGUUCAAUCAUUUUCGUAACCCAUUAGAAUUAAAGAUAUAAACAAGUCAACGUGACUGAACACAUUUAAAUUCAGUACUAAUAAAUUAUAGCCUAAAGUAAUAGCUUCUAGCACAUAUUUUCAAUUGCUAUUCAUAUACUGUAUAAAUUAUUGUCUCUAUUAUAGUAUACUACAAAGUAAAAUGCUAAGACCAUAUUGAUCAAUGCAUGUUCUUAUGGUAGGGUUCUCAGUGUAAUAUAUAAUACGUCUCUUAGUUUUUAACUAAAAAAUAUUAAAAAACGUCUCUUAAAUACGAGACAUAAAAAACGUCUCUUAACAAAAAAAUAUCAAAUCAUACUCUAAAUAUUCAAAUUAGUCUCCUCCAUUAAUCAUGCUCUAAGAUUAUUUUUGUUUGGUCAAAAAAAAGAUUAGAUAUUUUAUUCAACGUUUAUUGUUUAGUAGUGUUGUGUUAUGUUAUGUAUAUCACAAGCAAGUCAUCACACUAGCAAGCUUUGAAACCCUUUGUUAGGAAAAUUCUUCGAAAUGAAAAUUUCAUUAAACAGACUAACCUGCGUUUUCUUUAAAACAUAAUACAUUAACCUUAGUAUUCUUUCUUUUGUCUGAGUUAAUUAAAGAUAGAAUACAAUAUAUUUUUUUAUCGGUUUUCUUUAUCAGUAUAUAUGAAGAAAUGACGGUAUUCUCAAUGAUUCACUAUAUCAGCGUAUAUAUAUACAAGCGCUUGAGUUACAUACUACAAUCUUGCUGUUUCUUUAUUCACCAAGAAAAAACACAAUCAUAAGCUAAAGGCCUGAGCUUAGUGUAAAUGUGAAUAUGUAGGAGACAGAGCAAAGAAAGAGAAACAUCUUGUACUCUUGACCAUGUCCUCUUUUUCCUUUUCUUUAAGUUUUGGUAGUCACAGUAAAUACUUGCUUGAAAGUCAAUGAUAAUUGUAAUAUGCCUUUUCACAGAUCUUUUUUCAUUACACAGACAGAACAAAAACAAUGAGUUAUAGCCACAAAUCUAAUAGGCUUACAUGAAGAAUAUCUCUUCUAAGCUGGGCUUUUACGUUUUUGAGGGCUAAAACGUUUCCAAAAGUCACACUAUACAAAUAUCAGUCAAUCACAUACUUAGAGCAUCUGCAACAGUGAAUCCUCUAUGGAGUUCACACAGAUUUCCAGAAAAAAAAUAUUAAAAUAAUAAAUAGUGUUGAACCCCAUCUCUUUCCAGCUCUUCCCACUAAACCUCUGUCCAACGAGUUCAACACUGUUUCGCGGACUCCACGACACGUGGCGGUCUGCAACUGAUUCGAUUUUUUUAUUUUUUUAAAUCAAACAGUAAAACAAAAAUAAUAAUAAAAAAUUAAAAACAUGAAUUCUAAGAAAAUUUCACUGAUGCAGAUGCUCUUACAAUAAGGUAGAAACGAUAUAAACAUUCUUUGCUAAGCAAUCACAGGGCUUCACGUGUCCAACGACGAUCGAUCAAUCUUUCAUCACUAUAACCUUAAAUGUAUAAUAUUUACACAAACACCACUUGCUCCAAUACUUUUCAACGCCCCGAUUGGAAAAGUUGUGAACGUCCCGAUUCGGUAGGUUUGAAUGAAGGAAUUCAAGUCCUUCCUGUACCUAAAUAAAGGUCAGAAAGGUAAUUACCCAAAUCCUUAGGGACGUAUCUGACAAUAUCCCCCCAUGUCUCCACGUGGUACUUUUCAUAAAACAAAGAAGCAACAUAAGUUAGCUUCUUCGCCACGGAAUCUUUCAAACCCUCUCUCAUUUUAGUAUCCGGCACGACCCAACCGCUCUGCUUCCGAAACGCUUCCUCAAACNNNNNNNNNNNNNNNNNNNNNNNNNNNNNNNNNNNNNNNNNNNNNNNNNNNNNNNNNNNNNNNNNNNNNNNNNNNNNNNNNNNNNNNNNNNNNNNNNNNNUCUCGGAGAUCCCACCUUGUAAAGAAGGUCGCUCUUCUCGGCCCUCGAAGACGAGUCUUGGAGCGUAGGUUUGUUCUCCGAUCCCUGAGCUUACGAUGGCUUUGAGAAGGAACUUGUAUUCGUUUAAACCGAGGUUCUUGUUUCGGUGAAUGAUUUCUCCGCUGAACUGAGUGCUCACCAUUCGGUCGUCCGAUGGUUUAUGACAUUGGUAGUCUAAGAUGUAGCAGUCUUUGUCUUUCUUUGAGUCUAUGAGUUUACAGAUCUUGAAGAAGAGAUACGAGAGAAGAAGGGAGAAGAAGAGAAGGAGAAGAUCCAUAUUAUUAUUCUUUUUCUUUAUUUUUUUGUUUGUGUGUUUGUUUUUUGGGGUUAAGAAGAGAUGAUGAAGUGAGUAAGCUGCAUGAGAAUAUGGUGGAGAUUGUGAAGGGGAUUAUAUAAGAUAAAUCAUUAGAAUGGAUGAGGAAACGACAGCUCUGAACGUUUCAGUGGGUUCUACAUCUCCGUUGAUUUUUUUUUGUUUGGUGAGAACUUUAAUAUUUUAGAAUAAACAAAACUAAAUAUACUUAUUUCUACAGCCCAAGUUUGCGGUGAAUUUUGUGACUUAGGAUUUAGGAGAUAAGUGGGGACGCGUUGAUGUUGAUGUAAAUGGAUAUGCAAUGUAGAAGAAGUCUUAACUUGCUCCUUUAUUAAAACACAAAGAAGCUUUCUUACAACAAGGCUACGGUUUACCAUUAUGUAAUUGUAGUAUUUAUAGCACUGUCGAUACUUUAUUUUCGUCUAUUGUUGAGUUGUCGAAUCUUAUCUCGCGAACAUGAACAUGUUGUGUUUUCAUAUCGGCUGGACACAUAACCUAUCCUCCUCCUUUUUGGAGUUUUUG